rnacentral:rRNA from 1 species
GUAGUUAACCUAACCUAUGGAUGGGGAUAACCUCGGGAAACUGAGAAUAAUACCCAAUAGAUCACAGUGCCUGGAAUGGCCUGUGAUUGAAAUGAUUUAUCGCUGUAGGAUGGGACUGCGGCCUAUCAGCUUGUUGGUGAGGUAAUGGCCCACCAAGGCUAUAACAGGUACGGGCUCUGAGAGGAGGGGCCCGGAGAUGGGUACUGAGACACGGACCCAGGCCCUAUGGGGCGCAGCAGGCGAGAAACCUUUGCAAUGUGCGAAAGCACGACAAGGUUAAUCCGAGUGUCUCCUGCUAAAGGAGUCUUUUGUCAGUUUUAGAAUCACUGGUGAAUAAGGGGUGGGCAAGUUCUGGUGUCAGCCGCCGCGGUAAAACCAGCACCUCGAGUGGUCAGGAGGUUUAUUGGGCCUAAAGCGUCCGUAGCCGGUUGCAUAAGUUUUCGGUUAAAUCUAUGCGCUCAACGUAUAGGCCGCCGAAAAUACUGUGCAGCUAGGGAGUGGGAGAGGUACACGGUACUCAGUAGGAAGGGGUAAAAUCCUUUGAUCUAUUGAUGACCACCUGUGGCGAAGGCGGUGUACCAGAACACGUUCGACGGUGAGGGAUGAAAGCUGGGGGAGCAAACCGGAUUAGAUACCCGGGUAGUCCCAGCUGUAAACGAUGCAGACUCGGUGAUGCAUUGGCUUGUGGCCAAUGCAGUGCCGCAGGGAAGCCGUUAAGUCUGCCGCCUGGGAAGUACGUACGCAAGUAUGAAACUUA